rnacentral:tRNA from 1 species
GGUGAUGGCUCAGUGGUAGAGAGCUUGCCUAGCAUGUAUGAGGCACUGGGUUUGAUUCUCAGAACCA